GUACCUCCAAACUUGAACUCGUC
rnacentral:piRNA from 1 species